GGAGGGAGCUAGCGUUGUUCGGAUAUACUGGGCGUAAAGCGCACGUAGGCGGCGCCGUAAGUCAGGGGUGAAAUCCCGGAGCUCAACUCCGGAACUGCCCUUGAAACUGCAGUGCUAGAAUCCUGGAGAGGCGAGUGGAAUUCCGAGUGUAGAGGUGAAAUUCGUAGAUAUUCGGAAGAACACCAGUGGCGAAGGCGGCUCACUGGACUGGUAUUGACGCUGAGGUGCGAAAGCGUGGGGAGCAAACAGG
rnacentral:rRNA from 1 species